GACGAACGCUGGCGGCGUGCCUAAUACAUGCAAGUAGAACGCUGAAGGAGGAGCUUGCUUCUCUGGAUGAGUUGCGAACGGGUGAGUAACGCGUAGGUAACCUGCCUGGUAGCGGGGGAUAACUAUUGGAAACGAUAGCUAAUACCGCAUAAUAGUAGAUGUUGCAUGACAUUUGCUUAAAAGGUGCAAUUGCAUCACUACCAGAUGGACCUGCGUUGUAUUAGCUAGUUGGUGGGGUAACGGCUCACCAAGGCGACGAUACAUAGCCGACCUGAGAGGGUGAGCGGCCACACUGAGACUGAGACACGGCCCAGACUCCUACGAGAGGCAGCAGUAGGGAAUCUUCGGCAAUGGACGGAAGUCUGACCGAGCAACGCCGCGUGAGUGAAGAAGGUUGUCGGAUCGUAAAGCUCUGUUGUAAGAGAAGAACGAGUGUGAGAGUGGAAAGUUCACACUGUGACGGUAUCUGACCAGAAAGAGACGGCUAACUACGUG
rnacentral:rRNA from 1 species